rnacentral:rRNA from 1 species
GAUGAACGCUGGCGGCGUGCCUAAUACAUGCAAGUCGAGCGAAUGGAUUAAGAGCUUGCUCUUAUGAAGUUAGCGGCGGACGGGUGAGUAACACGUGGGUAACCUGCCCAUAAGACUGGGAUAACUCCGGGAAACCGGGGCUAAUACCGGAUAACAUUUUGAACCGCAUGGUUCGAAAUUGAAAGGCGGCUUCGGCUGUCACUUAUGGAUGGACCCGCGUCGCAUUAGCUAGUUGGUGAGGUAACGGCUCACCAAGGGAACGAUGCGUAGCCGACCUGAGAGGGUGAGCGGCCACACUGGGACAGAGACACGGCCCAGACUCCUACGGGAGGCAGCAGUAGGGAAUCUUCCGCAAUGGACGAAAGUCUGACGGAGCAACGCCGCGUGAGUGAUGAAGGCUUUCGGGUCGUAAAACUCUGUUGUUAGGGAAGAACAAGUGCUAGUUGAAUAAGCUGGCACCUUGACGGUACCUAACCAGAAAGCCACGGCUAACUACGUGCCAGCCGCCGCAGUAA